rnacentral:rRNA from 1 species
UCUGGGACAAGCCCUGGAAACGGGGUCUAAUACCGGAUAACACUCCUGCCUGCAUGGGUGGGGGUUAAAAGCUCCGGCGGUGAAGGAUGAGCCCGCGGCCUAUCAGCUUGUUGGUGAGGUAGUGGCUCACCAAGGCGACGACGGGUAGCCGGCCUGAGAGGGCGACCGGCCACACUGGGACUGAGACACGGCCCAGACUCCUACGGGAGGCAGCAGUGGGGAAUAUUGCACAAUGGGCGAAAGCCUGAUGCAGCGACGCCGCGUGAGGGAUGACGGCCUUCGGGUUGUAAACCUCUUUCAGCAGGGAAGAAGCGAAAGUGACGGUACCUGCAGAAGAAGCGCCGGCUAACUACGUGCCAGCAGCCGCGGUAAUACGUAGGGCGCAAGCGUUGUCCGGAAUUAUUGGGCGUAAAGAGCUCGUAGGCGGCUUGUCACGUCGGUUGUGAAAGCCCGGGGCUUAACCCCGGGUCUGCAGUCGAUACGGGCAGGCUAGAGUGUGGUAGGGGAGAUCGGAAUUCCUGGUGUAGCGGUGAAAUGCGCAGAUAUCAGGAGGAACACCGGUGGCGAAGGCGGAUCUCUGGGCCAUUACUGACGCUGAGGAGCGAAAGCGUGGGGAGCGAACAGGAUUAGAUACCCUGGUAGUCCACGCCGUAAACGGUGGGAACUAGGUGUUGGCGACAUUCCACGUCGUCGGUGC